CAGCUCCAGUCCGUCUAUCACGAGGCCUUCUCCAGCUUCGAGGGUGUCGGUGUCCUGCUCUUUAGCCCCAGGACGGCACAGCAGAAAACGGGUCCUCAGGGUAAGGAUGAAGGAAAUCUGGAUCCCGAGGCUGCUCGUUUUCAGAUCUCUCCCCACAAACCCCUUCAACCCCAUGCUCAGGCCAGGCUGCCUCCUCAGGACAUGGCCAGCUGGUCCACCUCCUACAGUCUUUCAGAGAUUCCUCAGGCCUGUCACCUCCCUCUCUCCAGAUCCCCUGCUCCUGUGAUGCCACCAAAAAUGUUUUUCUCAGUCUGGCUCAGGUUGACUUCCUGAUUGCUCACAGCGGUCGUCUCCCUGGGCGGGAUUCCCGGUGUUCCCAUUAGAGCCAGUUUGUUGGGGUGUCCGAGGGAACCUGCUUUCCCGAGCACCUGCUUUGUGCUCUGCUGGCUGCACCAUUAGUCGUCACACAACCCUACAGCAAAGGAAUCAUUCUCCGCAUUUUAGCGAGGAGGCAGCUGAGACCCAGAGGGGUGCUGUCACACAGGGACUCAGUCCAUGGCUCCCCCGGCGGAUUCCCCUUCCUCGGGUCACUGGCCUACCUGUGCACCAGCCAGGUCCUCAUCCAGCCCCCAGGGCCCUCCCUGCUCCCACUGGACCCCUGGUAAGGAUGUGUCUCUGUCCCCAGGCCUGACUCUGCAGCUGUGAAUGCCUCCCUUGUGUUUGGGGGCCUCGCCCCGGGCCCCUCUGCCCGUGAAGUCCUCUGGACUCUGUACCGCAAAGUGAAGGCCGCAGGGAAGUUGUUGGGGAACCUGUACUGGAUGAGAGCAGUCUCGCCUCUGAGGGGUCUGACCUGACCGACCUGGCCCUGGAAACCACCAGCAUCCAUCCCACGGCCAUGAGGCCCUUCCAGCCCCCGCUCCUCCUGCCUGGCUCUGCCCGCUUUGUCCUGCUGGAAAAGACGAUCCUCCGACAGGUCACACCCGUGCUGUCAGGAUUCUAUACAGCACGUCCCCAGGAAGAGCCCCUGCUCCUCUUCAGUAAUGCGGACCAGUGGAUGGGUGUUUACCUCGAAUACAAGUUCCAGACCCCCGUCGGUACCCACCUCCCAGGCUUGGCCAAUCACCUGACCCGGAACAUAAUGGAUCCUACUGUCCAGAAAUCCAGCAUCAUGGCCAAUGCUGACCACCGUCCUCAGGCCUCUGCAGAACUCCGGCCAAGUGGUGGUGGAGAAGCUCCAGUAAGGCCGUGGUGGCUCUGGGUGACCUGGGGCCCAGGGCUGAACUCUAGCGGUGGGGCCAGUGGCUCAGAGAAACGGCCUUCCUGAGACCCCCGGGCUGUCUAGCCUCCUGACACUGGUGAAGAUCUUCCCGCCAGGCCCGCCCCACUGACUGCCAGGGUGGGUGCCACCUUCUUCAGGGCCGCGCCGGCCCGAGCCCUCGUGCAGGACUGCGUGCUCCGGGGUCUGCAUGACCUGCAGGAAGCUGAGGGCCUCUCCGUGGAGAUGGUCAGCCCAGACCUCGGUGCUGACGCGGAAGGCCUGCUUCGGAGUGUCCAGGUACAGAGGCGCCCCUUCCCGAUGCUGCUCCUGCCACUGAAACUGCACCCCAAACCUCUCCUCCUCCCGGCCCCGCCCCCAGCCUUCCACAGUCAGCGCCUCAACCCUGACAACGAGAGCCAGAGCAGCAAGGCACCACCUGAGGUCACACAGCAAAGGGGGCUUCUUCCCUCCUAGCUCAUCCAAGGACUAGACGCCCAGGGCCACGACAGAGGCAGGGUGCGGGGGACAGCACCUCACCACCCCACACCAGGGACACCAGGCAUGCUCUAACCACGGCGGCACCCACCUCCCCCCGGAAGGUCUGGAAAACUACUCGAUACCAUCGUCAUACUCAGGUCAGGCUCUGGGGAGCGGAACAGGGCAAGAUGAAGGCCUGCAGAAGAUGCGGGCAGGGGAAGAGAGCUGGCGCCCUCACACCUGACCUGACACGGUGGUGGGGCUGGAGGUAUCAUUGGUCUCAAGCCAAACUCCGGUCUUUUUGGGGUACGGAAAAUUAAAUGACGCAGCACAAUCAGAAGCUGGUACAAAAGACUGCUUUUGUUUCUAGGCAGUCAUCCAACAGGAGAGGUUCAGAGCAGAGCC